GACGAACGCUGGCGGCGUGCCUAAUACAUGCAAGUUGAGCGCUGAAGGUAGGUACUUGUACCAACUGGAUUAGCAGCGAACGGGUGAGUAACGCGUGGGUAAUCUACCUUUGAGCCUGGGACAACUUUUGGAAACGAAUGCUAAUACCGCAUAAAAUCUUUAAACGCAAGGUUCAAUAUUGAAAGAUGCAAUUGCAUCACUCAAUGAUGAUCUCGCGUUGUAUUAGCUAGUUGGUGAGGUAAAGGCUCACCAAGGCGAUGAUACAUAGCCGGCCCGGGAGGGUGCUCGGCCACAUUGGGAACGAGACACGGGCCAAGACUCUAAGGGAGGCCGCAGUAGGGGAACUUCCGCCAAGGGCGGAAGUCUGAACGGGCCAACCCGCGUGAGUGAAGGAGGUUCUCGGAUCGUAAAACUCUGUUGGUAGAGAAGGAAGUUGGGGGGAGUGGAAAGCGCAUGAAGUGACGGUAACUAACCAGAAAGGGACGGCUAACUACGUG
rnacentral:rRNA from 1 species